rnacentral:rRNA from 1 species
UACGUAGGGUGCGAGCGUUGUCCGGAAUUAUUGGGCGUAAAGAGCUUGUAGGUGGUUUGUCGCGUCUGCUGUGAAAAUCCGAGGCUCAACCUCGGACUUGCAGUGGGUACGGGCAGACUAGAGUGCGGUAGGGGAGACUGGAAUUCCGUGGUGUAGCGGUGAAAUGCGCAGAUAUCAGGAGGAACACCGGUGGCGAAGGCGGGUCUCUGGGC